UACGUAGGGGGCAAGCGUUAUCCGGAAUUAUGGGGCGUAAAGCGCGCGCAGGCGGUUUCUUAAGUCUGAUGUGAAAGCCCACGGCUCAACCGUGGAGGGUCAUUGGAAACUGGGGAACUUGAGUGCAGAAGAGAAAAGCGGAAUUCCACGUGUAGCGGUGAAAUGCGUAGAGAUGUGGAGGAACACCAGUGGCGAAGGCGGCUUUUUGGUCUGUAACUGACGCUGAGGCGCGAAAGCGUGGGGAGCAAACAGG
rnacentral:rRNA from 1 species